AGCGAACGCUGGCGGCAGGCCUAACACAUGCAAGUCGAACGAACUCUUCGGAGUUAGUGGCGGACGGGUGAGUAACACGUGGGAACGUGCCUUUUGGUUCGGAAUAACUCAGGGAAACUUGUGCUAAUACCGAAUGUGCCCUACGGGGGAAAGAUUUAUCGCCAUUAGAGCGGCCCGCGUCUGAUUAGCUAGUUGGUGAGGUAACGGCUCACCAAGGCGACGAUCAGUAGCUGGUCUGAGAGGAUGACCAGCCACACUGGGACUGAGACACGGCCCAGACUCCUACGGGAGGCAGCAGUGGGGAAUCUUGCGCAAUGGGCGAAAGCCUGACGCAGCCAUGCCGCGUGAAUGAUGAAGGUCUUAGGAUUGUAAAAUUCUUUCACCGGGGACGAUAAUGACGGUACCCGGAGAAGAAGCCCCGGCUAACUUCGUG
rnacentral:rRNA from 1 species